AACAACCAUAGGCCGAAAGGUCUGAUUCGGAUGUGUGCCGUGGUCGGCUCCGUCUUAGAUCCAAUUAGAACGUGGCCCCUCGCCCUUCUUGGAGGACAUUUGAUCGUAAACACUUUCAUGCGUCUCUCUUGGAGCGGUGGGAGGCUCCCCUCCCGGUUGUCCUUGUGGCGCCGUGGUGUUUGGAAAUUCUAGUGUC
rnacentral:misc_RNA from 1 species